UACGUAGGGGGCGAGCGUUGUCCGGAUUCAUUGGGCGUAAAGCGCUUUAAGGCGGUUCGGUAAGUCGGGUGUGAAACCUCCAGGCUCAACCUGGAGACGCCACUCGAUACUGCUGUGACUAGAGUUCGGUAGGGGAUCACGGAAUUCCUGGUGUAGCGGUGAAAUGCGCAGAUAUCAGGAGGAACACCGGUGGCGAAGGCGGAUCUCUGGGCCGAUACUGACGCUGAGGAGCGAAAGCGUGGGGAGCGAACAGG
rnacentral:rRNA from 1 species